CACACACGGAAACCGGGUUGGAUCGACUGGCGCCUGCAGCUCCGGUCCGUUCCCGCCCACCGGUGGCGACAUCCUGUCGCUUCUUUCCGUGGAGGCAUAACCGGUCAAAGGACGAUCA
rnacentral:sRNA from 1 species